rnacentral:rRNA from 1 species
GUGCCAGCAGCCGCGGUAAUACGUAGGGUGCGAGCGUUGUCCGGAAUUAUUGGGCGUAAAGGGCUCGUAGGCGGUUUGUCGCGUCGGGAGUGAAAACCAGGUGCUUAACACCUGGCUUGCUUUCGAUACGGGCAGACUAGAGGUAUUCAGGGGAGAACGGAAUUCCUGGUGUAGCGGUGAAAUGCGCAGAUAUCAGGAGGAACACCGGUGGCGAAGGCGGUUCUCUGGGAAUGACCUGACGCUGAGGAGCGAAAGUGUGGGGAGCGAACAGGAUUAGAAACCCUCGUAGUCC